rnacentral:misc_RNA from 1 species
GGGAGUUCCAGCCCUGGUGCCAGCACCGGCGGUGGGAAUGCGAAGAAGGAUGAUGGAUCCGGGUAAAUUGGACUGGAUCUCUCUGAUUUGAUUUCGUGUUUCGAUGGUAUGUUUUAUUUAUUAAAGAAAGUUUGUAGGUGCUGUCUAAUUACACAUGAUUUUGAUUCACUUGCAUCUUUUGUUUAAAUCAUACUGUUAGAUAUUGGAGGAGCAAUAACCAUGAA